UCCGGUUGAUCCUGCCGGAGGGAACCCCUAUCGGGUUCAGACUAAGCCAUGCGAGUCGGCUGGGGGCACUUGCCCCUGGCGGCGCACGGCUCAGUAAUACGCGGUCAACCUACCCUGGGGACCGGGAUAACCUCGGGAAACUGAGGCUAAUCCCGGAUGGGUGUAGGGUGCUGAAAUGCCCCUACGCCGAAAGUAGGCGGGAAAUGGACCGCUGAGGCCCCAGGAUGGGACCGCGGCCUAUCAGGUAGUAGGUGGGGUAACGGCCCACCUAGCCUACGACGGGUACGGGCCCUGAGAGGGGGAGCCCGGAGAUGGGCACUGAGACAAGGGUCUAGGCCCUAAGGGGCGCAGCAGGCGCGAAGAUUCCGCAAUGCCCGAAAGGGCGACGGAGUGAACCCGAGUGCCACCCGCUGAGGGUGGCUGUUCCCCUGUGUAAAAAGCAGGGGGUAGGAAGGGGAGGGCAAGGCUGGUGGCAGCCGCCGCGGUAAAACCAGCUCCCCGAGGGGUUCCCACGCAUACUGGGCCUAAAGCGUCCGUAGCCGGCCCUGUAAGUCCGCAGUUAAAUCCGCCUGUAGACAGGCGGGCUGCUGCGGAUACUGCAGGGCUAGGGAGCGGGAGGAGCCGGGGGUAUUCCCGGGGGAGCGGUAAAAUGCGUAGAUCCCGGGAGGACCACCAGUGGCGAAGGCGCCCGGCUUGAACGCGUCCGACGGUGAGGGACGAAAGCUGGGGGAGCAAACCGGAUUAGAUACCCGGGUAGUCCCAGCCGUAAACGAUGCCGGCUAGGUGCUGGCCAAGGUUUCGACCUUGGCCAGUGUCGAAGCGAAGGCAUUAAGCCGGCCGCCUGAGGAGUACGGCCGCAAGGCUGAAACUUGAAGGAAUUGACGGGGGGGCACCACAAGGGGUGAAUGCCUGCGGCUUAAUUGGAUUCAACGCCGGG
rnacentral:rRNA from 1 species